rnacentral:rRNA from 1 species
UACGGAGGGUGCAAGCGUUAAUCGGAAUUACUGGGCGUAAAGCGUGCGUAGGCGGUUCGUUAAGUCUGUUGCGAAAGCCCCGGGCUCAACCUGGGAAUGGCAAUGGAUACUGGCGAGCUAGAGUGUGUCAGAGGAUGGUGGAAUUCCCGGUGUAGCGGUGAAAUGCGUAGAGAUCGGGAGGAACAUCAGUGGCGAAGGCGGCCAUCUGGGACAACACUGACGCUGAGGCACGAAAGCGUGGGGAGCAAACAGG